UGCUUGACUAAUGGCGGCCUUCUGUUUAGUGAUGAAGGAAAAAGUUGAAGAUGCUCCUAAGCAGUUGAUUCGACGCCUAUACAGUCUAGAUGCUAACUCGACGUGAAGCAGGAAUCGGAUGCAAGAGCUGCCAUCUCAAGUGGACCCGUGCGUCCAUCUUGAUCUUGCAAAACUCUCCACGAACCAGACCUCGGGCAGCAAUUCGAAUGGAACCGACUCAAUCCUCAAUUCGUGUUAUGGGAGCCUCGUGGGAAAGGGCU